GAAAGGCAGAAGAGGCCCCACAGUGUCCAGCUGCAAUGGAUUCACUUAAGGCAUCUUAUGACUUGAGAGAGCUCUGUAAUCCUCGCCAAUGCCCCAGUCUACAGCACCUCAGAAGCUCUUCAGCUGGGACACUAUCAACCUUAGGAGUGCCUUGGCUGAUGUCACGCCUGUUGCAAAGGGAGGACCAAAGCCAUUUCAAGGCUAGAAUCACAGCAAUGGGAUGGACAGAUGGGGAAGUUCAAAGAAUAUAUGGAUACAGUGAAAAUCCCCUCAAUUCUCACUUAUCAAACAGCAACCACUGCAAGCAACAGAAGUCUGUUCCACUGUUGAUCAGUAAGCAGGUCGUUGACAUUCCCACCUUCACCCCUAUGACUGCAAGGGGGAAUUGUGGAAGAAACUCUGCUUCUAACUGUCACACUAAAUAUCGCUCAAGGAAUAGAGUGGCAAAACAUCCGUAAGAUUUUUCUCUAUGACAGGGGAACAGACCCUUGCCACUCACACUGCUGCCCCACAAGUGAGGAUGGGUGGGAGAGCUGGGAGAUACUACUUAGCUACAUGACUAAGAUGCUACUUAGCUAAGUAGGUGGUACCAAGUCGCAGCCUGCAAAUCUCUGAACAUUUUGGUGUAUGCGCUUUUAACAAUGGAAACCCUGUUAAACAUAUAAUGUGUAAGGUUAAAAUGCAGAAUAUCAUUUUAACCUAGUGUUUCAUGUUUUGUUGGUGUCAUUAACACUUCAGCUGCUACAAUAAUGUAUUGAAACUACAAAAGAAUAGAUCUAAUGCAUUUUACACACUUAUUCAAGCAUGAUAUAACAAUGUACAUGUGCCAACAUAAAACCCCCCAAAAUGAAUUAAGAGAAAUUUUUGCAUGUAAUAAUUACAGAAAUAAAGUAAAACUCUAAUUAUAU
rnacentral:lncRNA from 11 species